rnacentral:rRNA from 1 species
UACGUAGGUGGCAAGCGUUGUCCGGAAUUAUUGGGCGUAAAGCGCGCGCAGGCGGUCCUUUAAGUCUGAUGUGAAAUCUUGCGGCUCAACCGUAAGCGGUCAUUGGAAACUGGAGGACUUGAGUGCAGAAGAGGAGAGUGGAAUUCCACGUGUAGCGGUGAAAUGCGUAGAGAUGUGGAGGAACACCAGUGGCGAAGGCGACUCUCUGGUCUGUAACUGACGCUGAGGCGCGAAAGCGUGGGGAGCAAACAGG